rnacentral:lncRNA from 1 species
ACUCUUUAGAAUCCCUGCAACUUUGAGCAAGUUCGUGAAUCUCACUAAGGCUCAGUUUCCUCCAUAAAAUUAAUCAAUAUCAGGGCCUCUGCAUUGGACAACUCCAGAGGGCACCAUUGGGGUUAUACCUUGUGUUUGCCUAACCUUCAUUGCAGUGGGCAGGUGCAUGCUUUCUACAAUGUCCUAAGGUCUAAAGGGGUAGAGUUCUGUGUGUGGCAUUUUAGGCCUGGAAAGGAUGAGAGUCUACAAAACCAGAGAAAUACUGCAGCCAUUGGUAAGAAGCACACAUGACAACCUGGACUUUCCAUCAACAUUUGAAGCGGGAGCAGUCUUGUGGGAUCAAGCUCUUAACCUGUGGGGUCUGCUACUAACUCUGAGAUCCCAGACCACCACCCAUGAUCCCAGGCUGGAGGAAGCAGCAGGCUAGCGGAAUUCAGGACCAAUGAGCCAGGAAAGAGGACCCAAUGCAGAGCUCACAUCCCACCCUCCUUCCCCCAUGACAAAGCACUGGCAAACCCUGCCAAAGAAGAAGCUUGGCUGCAAAGCAGUCUGGAACUGGACCCGGGAUAGAUUCACCAGGAGCUCACCACCACAGGGAAUGCUGCACUUUGACUGGACA